UACGGAGGGUGCAAGCGUUAUCCGGAUUCACUGGGUUUAAAGGGUGCGUAGGUGGCUUUGUAAGUCAGUGGUGAAAUCUUAGAGCUUAACUCUAAAACUGCCAUUGAUACUGCUUAGCUUGAAUCAAGUCGAGGUGGUGAAUGAAUAUACAUGUAGCGGUGAAAAUGCUUAGAUAUGUAAUAGAACACCGAUUGCGAAGGCAGUUCACUAGGCUUGUAUUGACACUGAGGCACGAAAGCGUGGGGAUCAAACAGG
rnacentral:rRNA from 1 species